rnacentral:tRNA from 1 species
GCCAAUGUGGUGUAGUGGUUUGAAUGUUGGACUGUGAUUCUGGAGAUCAGAGUUCGAAUCCAUGCUCAGCCA